AAGUAAGAAAACAAUUUAUGUAACCAGUUUCGACCUGGUAAUAGAUAUUAUUUAUAUCCUUAUUUU
rnacentral:tRNA from 1 species